rnacentral:rRNA from 1 species
UACGUAGGGGGCAAGCGUUGUCCGGAUUUAUUGGGCGUAAAGAGCACGCAGGCGGUCUUGUAAGUUUCGAGUGACAGGUGGUGGCUUAACUGCCACAGGGCUGGGAAAACUGCAAGACUUGAGAACUUCAGAGGGAUGCGGAAUUCCAGGUGGAGCGGUGAAAUGCGUAGAGAUCUGGAAGGACACCAAAGGCGAAGGCAGCAUCCUGGGAAGAAUCUGACGCUGAGGUGCGAAAGCCAGGGGAGCGAACGGG